AGAGUUUGAUCCUGGCUCAGGAUGAACGCUAGCGGCAGGCCUAAUACAUGCAAGUCGAGGGGCAGCGGGGAUAGCAAUAUCUGCCGGCGACCGGCGCACGGGUGCGUAACACGUAUGGAACCUACCUAUAACAUGGGCAUAGCCCGGAGAAAUCCGGAUUAAUAUCCAAUGAGACUACGGAACGGCAUCGUUUUGUUGUU
rnacentral:rRNA from 1 species